rnacentral:rRNA from 1 species
ACGAACGCUGGCGGCGUGCUUAGCACAUGCAAGUCGAACGGAAAGGCCCUGCUUUUGUGGGGUGCUCGAGUGGCGAACGGGUGAGUAACACGUGAGUAACCUGCCCUUGACUUUGGGAUAACUUCAGGAAACUGGGGCUAAUACCGGAUAGGAGCUCCUGCUGCAUGGUGGGGGUUGGAAAGUUUCGGCGGUUGGGGAUGGACUCGCGGCUUAUCAGCUUGUUGGUGGGGUAGUGGCUUACCAAGGCUUUGACGGGUAGCCGGCCUGAGAGGGUGACCGGCCACAUUGGGACUGAGAUACGGCCCAGACUCCUACGGGAGGCAGCAGUGGGGAAUAUUGCACAAUGGGCGGAAGCCUGAUGCAGCAACGCCGUGUGCGGGAUGACGGCCUUCGGGUUGUAAACCGCUUUCGCCUGUGACGAAGCGUGAGUGACGGUAAUGGGUAAAGAAGCACCGGCUAACUACGUG